rnacentral:rRNA from 1 species
GAUGAACGCUGGCGGCGUGCCUAACACAUGCAAGUCGAGCGAACGGACGAGAAUCUUGCUUUUCUGAUGUUAGCGGCGGAUGGGUGAGUAACAUGUGGAUAACCUACCUAUAAGACUGGGAUAACUACGGGAAAGCGGAGCUAAUAGCGGAUAAUAUUUUGAACCGCAUGGUUCAAAAGUGAAAGACGGUCUUGCUGUAACUGAUAGAGGGAUCCGCGCUGAUUUAGCUAGUUGGUACGGUAACGGCUUACCAAGGCGACGAUGCAUAGCCGACCUGGGAGGGUGUUAGUCGACACUGGAACUGGAACACGGUCCAGACUCCUACGGGAGGCAGCAGUAGGCAAUCUUGCGCAAUGGGCGAGAGCCUGACAGAGCAACGCCGCGUGGGUGAUGAAGGUCUUCGGAUCGUAAGGCUCUGUUAUUAGGGGAGAACAUAUGUGUAAGUAACUGUACACAUCUUGACGGUACCUAAUCAAUAAGCCACGGCUAACUACGUG